UAAAGCAAGAAAGGGCGUAUGGGGAAUGCCUAGGCACACUCCGGCGAAGAAGGACGCAGCAAACAGCGAAAUGCGACGGUGAGCGGUAAGCACGUGAAGAGCCGUCGAUAUCCGAAUGGGGGAACCCACACGGAGUCAUAUCCGUGUAUCACAUGUCGAAUACAUAGACAUGAUGAGGCGAGACGCAGGGAACUGAAACAUCUAAGUACCUGCAGGAGAAGAAAACAAACGUGAUUCCCCCAGUAGCGGCGAGCGACCGGGGAAAAGCCCAAACCGUUAUUGUUUCGGCAUUAACGGGGUAGUAGGACUGCAAGCUUGAUGAAAUAAAUGAAAUGGAACACCUUGGAAAAUGUGAUCACAGAGGGUGAUAAUCCCGUACAUGCAAGUUUAUGAAUCAUAGCAGACUCCUGAGUAAGUCGGGACACGUGUAAUCCUGACCGAAUCCGCCGGGACCAUCCGGCAAGGCUAAAUACUCCUGAGAGACCGAUAGUGAACCAGUACCGUGAGGGAAAGGUGAAAAGCACUUCGAACAGAAGAGUGAAAUAGUCCCUGAACCCAUACGCCUACAAGCAGUCGGAGCCGCUUCGUGCGGUGACGGCGUGCCUUUUGCAUAAUGAGCCUACGAGUUACUCAUCACCAGCGAGGUUAAGUACUUCAGGUACGUAAGCCGAAGCGAAAGCGAGUCUGAAUAGGGCGUCAAGUUGGUGGUGGUAGACGCGAAACCUUAGUGAUCUACCCAUGGGCAGGGUGAAGGUUUGGUAACACAAACUGGAGGCCCGAACCGGUAAACGUUGAAAAGUUUUCGGAUGACCUGUGGGUAGGGGUGAAAGGCCAAUCAAACUGGGAAAUAGCUCGUACUCUCCGAAAUGCAUUUAGGUGCAGCCUCUGUUGUUUUGUUCUAGAGGUAGAGCUACUGAUUGGAUGCGAGGGCUUCACCGCCUAUCAAAUCCGGCCAAACUCCGAAUGCUAGAACAUGAAGACAGGGAGUGAGCCAGCGGGUGCUAAGGUCCGUUGACGAAAGAGGGAGAACUCAGACCAUCAGCUAAGGUCCCCAAUUAUAUGCUAAGUUGGAAUUAAAACGGGGUGGGACUGCUUAGACAGCUAGGAUGUUGGCUUGGAAGCAGCCAUUCAUUUAAAGAGUGCGUAACAGCUCACUAGUCGAGCGGUCCUGCAUGGAUAAUACGCGGGCAUAAGCAUAUAACCGAAGCUAUGGGAUUGUAGAUGAUACAAUCGGUAGGAGAGCAUUCCAUUCAGCGUAGAAGCAGUAUCGUGAGGUAUUGUGGAGCGGAUGGAAAAGCAAAUGUAGGCAUAAGUAACGAUAAUGCGGGUGAGAACCCCGCACGCCGAAAGAUCAAGGAUUCCCCGGCAAUGUCAAUCAUCCGGGGGUAAGUCGGAUCCUAAGGGUAAGCCGAGUGGCGAUCCCGAUGGCAAACAGGUUAAUAUUCCUGUACUGAUCAUAACUGCGAUGCAGCGACGCAGAGGUGACACUGCUGCGUACUGACGGAAUAGUACGUUGAAACCCGUAUUCUUUGAUACCGGUAGUGAAGCACGCCGGUAGAGAUGAAAGGUGAUAGUACCGCAAUGCUUCGGUUGCGCGGAUAAUGCAGGUAAGCUGACUGCCAAGAAAACCUGCUAAGCUUCAGGUAAUGAUCAUCCGUACUGUAAACGGACACACGUGAUCAGGUAGAAAAUACUAAGGCGCUCGAGAGAUUCAUGGUUAAGGAACUAGGCAAAAUGGUCCUGUAACUUCGGGAUAAAGGACGCUCUUGUGAAAGAGCCGCAGAUAAUAGGCCCAGGCGACUGUUUACCAAAAACACAUGGCUAUGCUAAUUCGCAAGAAGAUGUAUAUGGCCUGACACCUGCCCGGUGCCGGAAGGUUAAGAGGAGAGCUCAGAGGUAACUCGAAGGUUUGAAUUGAAGCCCCGGUAAACGGCGGCCGUAACUAUAACGGUCCUAAGGUAGCGAAAUUCCUUGUCGGGUAAGUUCCGACCUGCACGAAUGGUGUAACGAUCUGGGUACUGUCUCAACCAUGAGCUCGGUGAAAUUGUAGUUCCGGUGAAGAUGCCGGAUACCCGCAACGGGACGGAAAGACCCCGUGAACCUUUACUGCAGCUUUGCAUUGAUUUUGGGUAACAGAUGUGUAGGAUAGGUCGGAGGCUUUGAUGCUGCGUCGUCAGGCGUAGAGUAGCCGUCGUUGAAAUACGACCCUUUUGUUAUCUGAGGUCUAAUCCCGUUAGGGAGACAUUGCAUGGUGGGUAGUUUGACUGGGGUGGUCGCCUCCAAAAGUGUAACGGAGGCUUCUCAAGGUACCCUCAAGGCGUUUGGUAAUCGUCUGCAGAGUGCAAUGGCAUAAGGGUGCUUGACUGUGAGACCGACACGUCGAUCAGGUUGGAAACAAGAGCAUAGUGAUCCGGUGGUUCCGCAUGGAAGGGCCAUCGCUCAAAGGAUAAAAGGUACUCCGGGGAUAACAGGCUGAUCGCUCCCAAGAGCUCAUAUCGACGGAGCGGUUUGGCACCUCGAUGUCGGCUCGUCACAUCCUGGGGCUGGAGAAGGUCCCAAGGGUUCGGCUGUUCGCCGAUUAAAGUGGCACGCGAGCUGGGUUCAGAACGUCGUGAGACAGUUCGGUCCCUAUCUGUUGUGGGCGCAGGAUAUUUGAGGAGCUCUGACUCUAGUACGAGAGGACCGGGUUGGACAUACCUCUGGUGAAUCAGUUGUGUCGCCAGAUGCACUGCUGAGUAGCUAUGUAUGGAUUGGAUAAGCGCUGAAAGCAUCUAAGCGCGAAGCCAGCUUCAAGAUGAGAUAUCCUUACAGGGUCGUUCGAGAUGAGAACGUUGAUAGGUUGCAGGUGUAUAGUCGGUGACGGCACAGCCGAGCAAUACUAAUUACCCGAAUGUUUACUUUAA
rnacentral:rRNA from 1 species